CGGGAUGUAGCGCAGCCUGGUAGCGCACCUGCUUCGGGAGCAGGGAGUCGCUGGUUCGAAUCCAGUCAUCCCGACCA
rnacentral:tRNA from 1 species